GCACGGCUUCUGAUGGGCUGCAGGAAGCUCCUGCAGCCAAUCGGAAGCCGUGGAAGUCCCGUUGGACAUUCGGCUUCCAAAAGAACGUUCAAAAACCGGAACAGUCACUUCCGGUUUUCAACCGUUCAGGAGCCGGAACGUUCAACUCCCAAGGUGUUCGGGAGCCGAGGUACGACUGUAAUGUCCUGGCAACUGCUACUACUUAGGGGGUCUAAAACUGAUACAUUUUUACUUAAACAUAUUUUUAUAACUGUUAUUUUAUAAUACAGAGCAACAGGGCAGCAGAAAUCAUGAGAGAAAGGAUAACCAGCUUCACGGAUUUUCCCACAUCACAUUUUUUUUACAUAGCACACAAACACAUUGUGAAUUACGAUCUAUUGCCAUGUCAAAUAUUAUGAAACCCCAUCACGAUGUGGACUUCAAGCCGAUUUUGGAUGAUGUAUUGAUGCAUUACCGAGCACCACUGCAAUUCAAUACUCAGGACUAAGCUCAGUGGGAGUGGCCACUGAGUAAAUAACAGGAGACUCAUAUACAUGUCUACUCAGAAGCAAGUCCCACUUAAUUCAAUGAGGCUUAUUCCCUUGCACUGCAGUCUUAGUGACUAACAUCUCAUUUACAGUUUUCUGCUAAAGGGAGACCUGAAUGCUUCAGCAAAGAAAAUUGAAUUAGGUUUCUGUUGCAAGCCGCAAUCCUAGAAAGUGAGCACAUCACUCUUUAAAACUGAUAUGCUCCAGACCCUGAAAUGCUUAGGGCCAUCAGGGAAAAUAUAAUGUAAAUUAAAAUUAAAAUGGCUUCAGAAGAAGACUCAGCGGCAGCUUCAAGUAGAACAACCAUUCAAUUACGCGUGUACAGUAUUCCAGUUUAUUUUACAAGUCACUGUAGAAGAGAAGUGAAGAGAGAAGUAAUGAAAACAAGUAAUCAAUAGAAUCAUUUUGAGAAAGGAGCUGAGGGAGCAAUAGGCAGCUCAGACACAUGCAUGUACAACAGUUGAUUUCUCACUGCUUGAUUACUCAACCUGAGCGAGCCUGCAAAAAUGAAAGCAAACAACGUCUCUUAUUAGUGAAGCCAUGAAAUGAGACUGACGUUGCCUGGUCUAUGCACACUUCUUGCGCAGAAGUAAAAUGCCAUGGAGUUUAGUGGGGCUUAUUCCAGUUUAGCAUGCAUAACAUAAACAGGUUUCCUUGAUUUCUCUAGCCAAAGCAACAGUUUUCAACCUUGCCCACUUUUCAGUAUUUUAUCAUGAGCCUACCGCAGAGGCUUAUUUUGUUUAACUGAACCCCAAACACCAAGGUUUGUUUAUCAUCUAACAAGAACUGAGCAUGCCACGGCAGUUACAAGUAUGGUUUACAAGCAGUAAAAUUCUUAAACCAGCAUAUAUUUCGAUUCUGGUGGAUGGCCCAGUGAUUUUUUAAAAAAUUCAUUUUUUUAUUUGCAAAUUUAACAAGGAAAGAGAACAAAAGGGGGGAAAUGAAGUUUGUAGAGAUGACACAUGCUACAAGGCAGACUUGCCCAGUGAUCUGGAAUUGCAGGAAAAUAUAGGCCUGUGUGUUUUGUUUUCCAAAUCAUGGUUUUUAAAAAUAAUAAAAAUACCUGUGAUUUUACUCUGUACAGUCUUUUACAAUGUUUGUAAGCUGCCACUGGAGUAGAUAUAUUGAAAAGAAUGCAACACAAAUAAAUAAUAAAAUAAAAAGAUAAUCAAAGCCUACAUUUUUAGAAUUUACCAGUGUGUUCUGGUUUAUUUAAAGGUUUCGAUGGAUAAAAUGAAAUUUCAGAGGCAAAACCUUAACAAGAGAGAGAGAAAAGAAGGAACUCUACUGAGUCCCAAAUCUGGAAUUAUUUUAGAUUAUUAGAUGUCAGCUGUUCAUCAGGCAGGGAAAACAAAACUGAAAUUAAUUCACAGGAACCAGCAUCAUAUUAUUAUUCAACUGUUUAGAAAAAGUGCCUGGGAUAUUUUCCUGUCCCAUGAAUCUCCUGAAUUUAAAUGCAGUGUUGCUAUGAGCUGGUGACGAGACAAAAUGUAUUGAUAAGCCUUGCCUUAUUAACUGCUUCAAUUACCAUUACUGCUGACUGAAGGGGAAAAAUAUUCCCAAACCAGGCCAAUAGCUCAGCAAGAGCUCUGAAAUUGUAGUUGUGGAAAAAUGAUUUUUAAAAUACAAUUGGCAUGACUGCUCUCAUCCACUCCAACACAGAGAAAGACACAACAGAACUGAGAGAAUAUUUUGGACUUCUGGCUCCUACAGUUCUAAGCAUGUGUCUAGUUUUCCUUUCCUCCUUUUGCUCCCUUUUAACUGCAAAAUGAAAAUGCCUCUUAUAAUGCUAUCCAAGGCAUGCCUACUCAGAAGUAAGUUCCCUGGGGCUCACUCUUAGAGAAGCAGGAUCAAAAUGGCAGCCUUAAUGUAUAUUCUGACCAAAUAUAUUUUGUAAACUCGGUACAGUAUGUUGUCCUCAUUUUGUUGAAGCUGUGAUUACUCGUAUCUGCUUUUUCAAAAGUUAUUUAUAGUACAGUAUUAGCAAACAGAUUUCCCCACCAUCUGAAACAUGAAAAAUUGGACGUUUUCAUAAAGAUUUCUGAGUUGUUGUGCGCAAUUUAAAAUCCUGCACCUACAUUAGUCCGCAUUUCUAGGGAAUUCUUUCCUAAGCACUACACUUCACAAAAAUAGACAGACAGACAGACAGACAGUCUAACACAGGUAGUAGAGAUUUCUCCUAAUAACAGAGUAACAUGUGAAUAGGGCUUCUAUCUAGCCUAUGAAAUACCUUUAACAAGUCCAUAAAUUUAUUCUAAGCUUCUAAAGUAGGCAUCAGAAUUACGUAUGUAUCUAAUAUAUGUAUAUUAUGGGGUGGGGAUUGUUUAAAUGUUCGCCCCAGAAUUUUGACUAGCACCUCUGGGCAUGGCAAAUAAACCAUAAUUAUUUUU